UGGGGAAUAUUGCACAAUGGAGGGAACUCUGAUGCAGCGACGCCGCGUGAACGAAGAAGGCUUUCGUGUCGUAAAGUUCUUUUAUAUGGGAAGAUAAUGACGGUACCAUAAGAAAAAGCCCCGGCUAACUACGUGCCAGCAGCCGCGGUAAUACGUAGGGGGCUAGCGUUGUCCGGAAUCACUGGGCGUAAAGGGUUCGCAGGCGGAAAUGCAAGUCAGGUGUAAAAGGCAGUAGCUUAACUACUGUAAGCAUUUGAAACUGCAUAUCUUGAGAAGAGUGGAGGUAAGUGGAAUUUUUAGUGUAGCGGUGAAAUGCGUAGAGAUUAAAAAGAAUACCGGUGGCGAAGGCGGCUUACUGGGCUCAUUCUGACGCUGAGGAACGAAAGCGUGGGUAGCAAAGAGG
rnacentral:rRNA from 1 species